rnacentral:rRNA from 1 species
AUUGAACGCUGGCGGCAUGCCUUACGCAUGCAAGUCGAACGGCAGCACGGGAGUAAUCCUGGUGGCGAGUGGCGAACGGGUGAGUAAAGCAUCGGAACGUGCCCAGUCGUGGGGGAUAACGUAGCGAAAGCUACGCUAAUACCGCAUACGAUCUGUGGAUGAAAGCGGGGGACCGUAAGGCCUCGCGCGAUUGGAGCGGCCGAUGUCAGAUUAGGUAGUUGGUGAGGUAAAGGCUCACCAAGCCGACGAUCUGUAGCUGGUCUGAGAGGACGACCAGCCACACUGGGACUGAGACACGGCCCAGACUCCUACGGGAGGCAGCAGUGGGGAAUUUUGGACAAUGGGCGCAAGCCUGAUCCAGCAAUGCCGCGUGCAGGAUGAAGGCCUUCGGGUUGUAAACUGCUUUUGUACGGAGCGAAAAGGCUUCCACUAAUACUGGGGGCUCAUGACGGUACCGUAAGAAUAAGCACCGGCUAACUACGUG